rnacentral:rRNA from 1 species
AUGACUGAAAAGCUCAACGAAGAACAAGCACAACAGUCAGCAGCAGCAACGAGAACAGCAGCAGAGAAAACAGAAACAACAACAACUGAGAAGGUCACUGGCAUCCAGGUCGAGACUGGAAAACAAGACGGAAAAAACCACCAUCAAGACAUAACGGUUGACAAGGAAAAACAUGGUGCUAAGAAAAGCACAGACGACUCUAAUAAGGAUGGAGAAGAAACUGAACAAAAGGGUACAAUGCAAAAAGGGGGCAAAGAUACCGAUUUCGUCAACAAAGCCAUCGAAGACCUGUACAAUGCUGUAUGCAAGCCAUGGACAAAGAGAGAAAUGGAUUAG